rnacentral:rRNA from 1 species
AUUGAACGCUGGUGGAAUGCUUUACACAUGCAAGUCGAACGGCAGCACGGACUUCGGUCUGGUGGCGAGUGGCGAACGGGUGAGUAAUGUAUCGGAACGUGCCCAGUCGUGGGGGAUAACGUAGUGAAAAUUACGCUAAUACCGCAUACGAUCUAUGGAUGAAAGCGGGGGAUCGCAAGACCUCGCGCGAUCGGAGCGGCCGAUGUCAGAUUAGGUAGUUGGUGGGGUAAAGGCCCACCAAGCCGACGAUCUGUAGCUGGUCUGAGAGGACGACCAGCCACGCUGGGACUGAGACACGGUCCAGACUCCUACGGGAGGCAGCAGUGGGGAAUUUUGGACAAUGGGCGAAAGCCUGAUCCAGCCAUUCCGCGUGCAGGAUGAAGGCCCUCGGGUUGUAAACUGCUUUUGUACAGAACGAAAAGGUUUCUACUAAUACUAGGAGCUCAUGACGGUACUGUAAGAAUAAGCACCGGCUAACUACGUGCCAGCCGCCGCAGUAA